ensembl:lncRNA
GAUGUACCCACAGUGAAAGCCAGCUCAUGAAGCCUUGUUUCUAAAGGUAAAUAAUGACAAGAAGGCUUUAAGGAAAUAGGAUUUGCUAUGAGACUGUGAUUAACUGGAACAAAACAGUUGAAAACUGGUUUGUCGAUACAUAAUAGGAAACAAAGUGUUUAGACCUCCUAAUUUCUGAAUUGAAAUUUCCAUUUUGGUGAAUUUGUCCUCAGGAAAUAUUGACAGCAAAUGCAUAAAGAUGUGUGUAGUGGCAAUACUUUUAUUUUAAUAUUGAUUUUUUUUCAGCAAAAAUAAAACCUAAGUAGUUUUUUAAAUGGGAAACCACCAUAAUUACAAUUGUUAAAAAUCAAACACAAAUGGAGACCAGGCUUGGAAACUUCUUAAGCAGGAAAAAAAAAAAAAACCACUUUACUCAUACAAGCAAAACUUAAUUUAGCUUAUUUUGCAAGAUAAGUGAGACAAUCUGGGUCACUUCUUGUUAAUACCUCUGAAAAUCAGGGGGAAAAAAAACCCUCAGGUUGUUCCCCCAAGUUGAUAGAAGCUAACUAAGUCCUUACAGUCAAGAAAACACUAAUAAUAUUAUAACCAACCACUGUGAGAAAUACACAGCACUGCCUCCUUACUGCAUAAACUGCUUUAAAACAUGCCUCUGAGACUCGAUUCACGCUUAACUUGAGGGCUCCCAGUUCACCAGCUUCGGCUACCAUACAAACUGUGAACCAAAGGAACCAACAUGUCUACUUACCUUCGGCAUCUCUCUCGGUCCUGACGAAAGAGCAAAAAGGAGACAUAAAAGGAAGCAGGAAACCAUAACCAGGUUGAAAAUAAGACAUGGAAAAACUACACCCCAAGAAAGUGAAAAACAGGCUGAGGGAAAAAUAAAAACCAGGGGAAACACUCACCCAAGAGAGCAGAGGCGAGUGUGGUUCCCCCCGGAAGAACUCAGAGCAAACCGCGGGAGAAGCACCCAGGAUUAGCCUUAGGAUCAGGUGUGGGCCUUUGUGGGCCUUGGGCGGCCCAUGGGCAGUAACACAACCACCUCAAUGGCUGACACCUGGCUGCGUGGGUACUGCCUCUCCAGGUUCCUGGGGCCUGCGGAGAAAACCUUUAACUUUCUGAAUAAAACUUGAGAACCACUCGCCAAAACAAUGCUUUGUCUAUGUAGCCAGUGGGUUGUCAGGCCCAAGAGAAAGAGGGAAACUCUGGACUUUGUAUCAGAUGCUGGAAAAAAAAUAAAAUAAAAACAAAAAAUUUUCAAAAAAAACACAUGUAACAAAAUUUCAAAGGCAGCUUUACCUGGGAAUAAAUGCAAGUUUAAGUGUUCUCCUGGGAGAUUAAGAGCUUUUGUGUUGGCAUCUGUGGGGAUUAAGGCAGCCUGGCUCCCUCACUGUUCUACCCACACCCAGGCCCACUUCCUAAAAACCACCCCGUCAGUGCUUCCAUUAAAAUGAAUGGACUGUAAGUAAAGCCAGGCCACAGCAGCAAAGGAAAACCACACAAGCCAGACAGAUACUCAUCACCCUACUCCUCCAUGGUAACAAGCUGUAAGGG